CACCGGUUUCCGUGAGCGCACUGUGAUGUUGAAGCAAGUGCCUCGCGCGCAAACCGGAGC
rnacentral:pre_miRNA from 1 species